rnacentral:misc_RNA from 1 species
GGUGAAGAACGCAGCGAAAUGCGAUAAGUAAUGUGAAUUGCAGAAUUCAGUGAAUCAUCGAAUCUUUGAACGCACCUUGCACCCUUUGGUAUUCCGAAGGGUAUGCUCGUUUGAGUGUCAUUGUACUCUCACGCUUCUAAUUCCUUUCGGGAUUGGGAGCGGUGGACUUGGGUGUUGCUGCUUUAGUUGUGGCUCACCUCAAAUAAGUUAGUGCAACUCUUGGUUGGACAUAGUACGGCGUGAUAAGUGUCUUCGCCGGCGCCUCUGUAAGGAGGGUGGCCGAUCGGGAGCUCUGUGCUUCAAACCGUCUUCGGACAAUCUUUGACAACUUGACCUCAAAUCGAGUAGGACUACCCGCUGAACUUAAGCAUAUCAAUAAGCGGAGGA